AUCCCACUGUCAAGCAAUAGCUAAGCCAUCAGAUAUUUUUCAUCGUUUUAUAUAUAUAUACACACAUAUGGCCAUCAAGGCGCAGAAUCUGCACAGACUAUAUAGUGCUCAGCUUAUUUUGAUGUUUAAUAGGCAUCCUCCGAUGAGCCAGUCGAUGAAAUGCAAGGAUGGAUCUCGGGGGAAGAGGACGGAGGGGCACCACUGAUCCCACAACAGGACGUAACGUGCAGAAGGAAGACGCGGCCGCUGCUGUCCCCGCUGGAGCAGAGAGGACGUGAGCCUUUGAUGUUCCACUCAAAAUUAUUAAUUCCCCGCGUCAGGUUCUGUGUUUCAUCUACAUUUAAAGUCCAAAUCUUGAGUUUGAGCAAAGCUUCUGCUAUGCAAAUCAGCGCCUAAUGUGCAUGCUGGGCUUGCUGGGGAUGUUUUAUGUAUUUUUUUUCUCUUUUUUUUUGUGAGAAAAUUAAUGACAUCUGCGUCAUUUGAUAUUGAUCUAAAAUCUAGAUAUCUGCUUCCUGCUGUGCGUCAGAUGAGCUUCAUGUCUUAGUGUGGCUUCACAUCACAAGGAUAAAAGUUUGAACACAUGAAACUAAAUCAAAUGUUUGAUCUUAAAAUGAAGACCUGUUGAAAGUUUAUCAAUAAAGCAAUAGUUCAAUGACAAUUCUUUUAUCCCCAUCACUGACUUUCCUGUGUGGAACUCGAAUUGAAAUGUUCAUGCUGCUCUAAAACAUGAAGUUGGCCCUUACAUUUAAUUUUUUUUACUAACAAUAUUUCCUUCUGAAGCUCUCAUAACUCAAUGCUCUCACUGACAUUAAACCUGGGCCGAUGUGUCACGAAUCUCCAGUUUUGAAUAUGAAUGAGAUUUGAGUUACAGUGGAGACUUUCAGCAAAGAACAACUUAAAAAAUAUAUUUUUCAUCAUUAAAAAAAGUUGUACACAUAAAGAAACAAAAAGGGAUUUUG